rnacentral:lncRNA from 1 species
CUUCAUGUUACAACAUGGGGUUAAUUUACUUCUGUUCUGUUCUGACCCAUGUAACCAGACAAAGUGAUGAAAACAUCUUAAUGAACUGGAAAACCUCAUGCCGGUGACUUGGGGAAAAGAAAGUCUUACUUCAAACAUCCUAGAAGCAUUAGAAAGCUACAGAGCUGGGGUCUUACUCUAAAAAUAGAGCUGGACUGAAGUGCAGUGGUGUGAUCAUAGCUCACUGCAGCCUCGAACUCCUGGGCUCAAGUUAUUCUCCUGCUUCAGCCUCCUGAGUAUCUGGGACUACAGACAUGCACCACCGCACCUAACAUGCUGUUAUUUCCAAAUGAAUAAAUGUUUUUUUAAAACAUCUCAGUUUUAAUUUCUAAUAUGACAAAUAUUAACAAAUGCAACUCACAAAACAAAAGCUCAUUGGGGUCCUCAAUAAUUUUUAAGAGUGGAAAAAGGUCCUGAGACUACAAUGAGAAUCACAGCCCUAGAAUCACAUGCCUCCUUGAUUUCAUGCUGUUUAAUAUAAAUUAGUAGUUUAACUUCUUCCUUGAUAAUGUUAUGACCUAAUAGUAGUUUAUGUCCAUUUCUGUUUCAGUCCUUUGUAUUGUUGUUAUGCAUCUUAAUUCUUCCUAUUUUUUUUACCACACAAGACUUUAUUAUUAACUUUUUGUACAGUCAAUAUUAACUUAUAUUUACUAAGAUAUUAAUCUUUCCAUUGUUCUUCAUCCUUUCCUGAAUUUAUAUUUUUUGGUCAGUAAUGCUUUCUCUACUACUUGAUUGAGUUUUGGACAUUAUGUUUGAGAAAUUACUGGACAUUGUAUAUUAAAAAUUUUAGCAAUUCUGGAUGAUAUUAUUCUCCUAUAGAGUGGAUUCAUUCUGGCCUCUGGUGAGCAGCCUGUUUAAGGACAGAUUGCCUUGAUCCAAUCUGAGACUAAACUGAUUUUUGCUUGGGUUGCAAGAUUUUUUCUUUUUUCUUUUUGAGUCUCUAUCUAAAUUUUGUGUUAGGCCUAGAGUAUAGCUUGUUAGGGAUCUCAACUAAGAGCAUCUGUGUUUACUAGAACCUCUCCUGUUUUGUGGAAACUCAGAACUAAGAAACUGCUUGAAAACUUGGCUCCACUGUUCAGUAGCUUUCUGCUUAGCUUAUUACUUAGGCUGUUGCUUCACACAGCAGAUGAAUUCAGCAAAUCUUCAUGGUGGAAAAUAGCAGAGUGUCCAGCUCACUUUACUUUCUCUCUUCUCUCUGGGCUGAGAUGUUGGUCAUUAAAGUUCUGGUUCUCUUGACAGGCUCAAACUCCCUUUAUUUACUUAUUUAUUUGGUCCAAUGAUUUUUUUUUUUUUAAAUUUUACUUUACGUUCUGGGAUACAUGUGCAGAAUGUGAAGGUUCGUUACAUAGGUAUAUGUGUGCCGUGGUGGUUUGCUGUACCUAUCAACCAUCACCUAGGUUUUAAGCCCCACGUGCAUUAGCU